rnacentral:tRNA from 1 species
GGGACCAUGGCGGAACUGGUAGACGCGCCGGACUUAAAAUCCUGUUUCCGAAUGGAAGUGUGGGUUCGAUUCCCACUGGUCCCACCA